UAGACUUCUGUGAUCAGCGACUGUCUGCAUUCAGACAGUCUGAGGCGCUGUGUGUCUGUGAGCAGUUUACUCUUCGGUUGCUCGUAUUUACGUAGAUUUGCCUCGUUGGAAGAAAAUAAAAGUUUGUGGAGGUUCAGAAGAAUCACCCUGUGAUGGAGGACAGCAUCAAGUCCGAAGAGAAGCAUGUCAUCACAGCAGGAGUGGUAGAGGAGUCGGUGGGGGCCCUGCAGAACGGUAGCCCACAGCCAGUGAAAAGGGGGAGGGGGCGACCGCUGGGGUCCGUCUCUAAAAGGCCAAAGCCAGUGAAGGUUCCAGGAAAGCGAGGGAGGCCACGGAAGCCAGUGGACCCCUCUGCUCAAGUCAACGCAACUCCUAAGAAACGAGGGCGGCCGUUCAAGGUGAUCAAACGAAGAGGUCGGCCCAGGAAAGUUCCUCUUACCCCAGAAGAAGAAGAAGAGCGAAAGAAGUUGAAAGAUAAACCGAAACGGCCACGAGUGUGGAAGCCUCUGGGGAGACCACGUAUCUAUCCACGUGUGGAGGUAGCAGCGCCGCCUAAGCCUAGAGGGAGAGGCCGCCCACGGAAAGCAGAGUCAAGGCAAGGUGCUCACUUGCGCAAGAAGGAACUGUCCUCCACUGUAAAAUCUCCCAGGGUUUCAUCUGUAGAUGGCUUGCCCCUUAAAAGAGGAAGGCCUCCAGGUUCCACCAAAAUGAAGGACAAACAGCUUCCAUCAGCAAAGAAGUUCGAGAGUGAGACUGAACAAGGUCCAGGAGAAAGCAGCAGAGGUGUUGGUGAAGCACGAUAUGGGGAAAAGCCAGUCGAAACGUGGUGCCAAGCUUCAGGCCAGCAGCCAGAGCACCAGUGCAGUUCCAGAAGAAGAGGGAGCCUCCUACGUGUGCAGCCAAAAUAAGAAUGAGAACAGUGUCUCGGGAAGUGUUGCUGAACGACGUGCAGGUGAGACGGGGAAAGCUGCUAAGAAGCUUGCCAACAGGAAAUGUGUCACAGACAAGAUGGCGGCUUCAGGAAGAGGUGGCAGGCAUGGAAAUUUGGAUCGAGAGAAAACUCAAAGAGGGAGAAGGGCAAAGAAGAGCAGUUUACUGUAGGUGGUGUCUUCUUUUCCUCCUGCCUUUACCAUGUUCCUGUAGUUUAUCAAUUAACCCAUUUUUAUUUCUACUUUCUAAGGCUGCUCUUAGAGACAAUGUGCCGAGUAAACGACUUCCAGUCUUUCAUUUGAUUAUGAAAAUUUUUUGCAACACUAUUAAUGUUCAUGCUUUCUUUUCUUUUUUUUUUUUUUUUUUUUAAAAUCACUUAAUUUUCCCAGCAAAUGUUCAAUGAUCUUGGGAAUGUCAGUGUUUUCUAGCGCUAGCUAUUAAUUUUUAUAUUUUGAAAUAUUUAAAAGGCUAUUCAAGAACAGCUGAACUCAAUGAGGAGUGAACCACAGUUGGUAGUGCAGUUCAAAAUAUGAAGAUUAUACAGUAUUGAGGUUGUUUCUAUUAUUGUCCUUCAUUUUAUUGUCUUCAAACAAUUGUGCCGCCUGAAAUAAUAUAUUCUGUUAAAUUUCAUUUUUAGUAUAGUUGUAACAAAAUGAUUACAUUUUCUAGUUCAGAAAAUGUGAUAUUUCAAGUUGUGAAAAUAAGUAGUACACUUGCUUAUAUGUGCCAAGGAGAAGAGCGUGCCCCCUGUUCCACGACCAGGACAAAAGAUGCAUUGUUUCUUUGAAUCUGUGAGUCUCAGCUGCCAGACGGCGAUUCCUGUCCAGUACAUGCUCUUCACCAGGGAGAAUGACGAGUAUGAUCCGUUGUUGUUGGAGCACAUCCACCAGUCCCCUUUCUUAAAUAUAGGGACCAAUACCUGUACACCACAUUAAUGUAUUGCCAUGCUGCUUAUCCUUGCCACAGCUAUUUCAGGGAGCAUGGGAAUACACUAAUUCAGCCUACCUGUGCUUUAUGGACUUGGAAAAACCAUCUGACCGUGUUCCCUCAGCAUGUGCUACAGGAAGUACUGCAGGAAUAUUGGGAUCCAGGACCACUGAUGUGUGCCAUCAGGUCCCUGUCUGAGUCCAGGAUGAAUUGUGUCCGUAUUCAGUGUUAAGCUGAAUCUGUUCAAUCAAAGUUGUGUUCUGUCUCCACCCUGUUUGUGAUUUUCAUGGACAGGAUAUGAAGAUGCAGUUGAGGUUCUCGGGCGUGUCUGGAUGGGAGGCAGCUUGGGGUGGUGUGUCUGCCAGUAUCCUCUCGGUCUCAUCCUAAUGUAAUGUCCGCUGUCAUACAAGCCAUUUGCUUCUGAGAGUGAAGCAGCUGAUGUGAAAAGCAGCACCUUUAAGUCUGAGGGUAUAGUCCUUCCCGAAAAAUGUUUUCUUCAGGUGAGAGCAGACUGUCUGUCUCUAGCAGAGGAGCUAUCUUGAGGUCUUUUUCAUGCGUGAUGGAAGAACAGGAGAUUGAGAGACGGAUCGGUACUGCAUCAGCAGUUUUGUGGUCACUGUACUAACGUGUGGUGGUGAAGCAGAAGCUGGUGCACUCCACAUCCCUCAUCCUCACCUAGGAUCAUGAGCUUUGAGGAUGACAGAGAAUGGGACUGUGGAUACAGGAGGUCCAAAUGAGGUUUCUCCUGGAUUGCUGUGCUCUCUGCACAUUGAGCUGAGGAGCUUGGCGAUCUUGAAGGGCCUCGGAAUCGCUACUCCUCCACAUCGAAAGGAGGCGUCUGAGGUGAGUUGGGAAUGUCAUGGCUCCUGCUCAAGGUGUACAGGCGUGUCCCAGUGAGAGGAGGCUAGGAGGCAGAAUGCCAGGGGUCCCCCAGCAGGAGCUGGAGGCUGUUGGUGGGGAAAGGAAGGUUUGGGCUGCCUGCUCAUCCUCAUACCACAGUGAUCCUCUGCUGGACAAGCUGGAGGAAACUAAAUGCCUGAUGUUCACAUACCAAACUUGACAGAAAUUGGUCAGUCUGAUGACCAACAAGGAAUGUUACAAACAUCCAAAUCUGUUUUGACCUGUUUUGACCCUAGUGCCGGUACCAGUUUAGAUUUCUGUUUGGAGGAAAUUGCCCAGCUCCAAAUUUUUUUGCCUUUAAAAAGUAAUUAAAAUUUCCUUGCUUGCCAAAAAUAAGCAAUUUAUUCAAAGUGGGAAGUCCACUAACUGUACCAAUGAUUUUGGAAUACAGUGUCACUUAUUAUUGGCUUAGACUUAACAUUGUAUAUUGACUUACAGUAGAUUCUCAAAUUAUUUUAAAGAAAUGCCAUCAGUUAGAAUGGAGCAUUUACGUAUGCUAUGAUGUAAUAGUUGUUUAUAGUUUUAAUCAGUAACAUCACAGUCUAGCCUUAAACUAAUAAUAGUUUAAAAAAUAACAUUUUUAAUUAUAAUUCAUUGUUUUCUUGAUUUUAUUUGCCUCUAUGUAUUCAUCUGGAUUCUUUGUAAACCAGUGACACCUCGUUCAAAAAAAAAGGACUAUGUUGUCUUGGCUACAAGUAGUGACUGUAUGCUGUAGAGAUUCUUUCUGCUUUACCUGGUGCAGCACGUCUGAAUCCAAGUCCUGGCAAACCCCUGUUUGUAGCCUUGGUCACGCUGCUGAUAAUGUGAAAGGUAGGAUUCAGAUUGUUUCAAACGGAACCCUUAGUUGAAGAUUAAUUAUAACUUCUGAAUACCUGUAAAGUUAAGAAGGUAAACUUUUUUUCUGGCAUAACAUAAAAGCCCAUUUUACAAUUUUACCAAUGGGGAGACAUAGAUACAGACAUGAUUCUCAAAGUACAGUUUGUCUGAUGUCACCUGUUGAACCAGCACACGUUGCAUGGGUGGCAGCAUAUAGAACUGGAAGAAAGUACAGCACUUUUUAACAUAAUAUCAUGUGAGUAGCAGCAUAUACAGUUGUUAAGGAAUAGAGGUAUUCGCGAUAAAUAAUGCAAUGCAAAUUCAUGUUUUGAGACCCUUUAUGUUUUGAGGAGGUUAUUCCAACACGUUGAAGCCAGAACCAAUGACCCACAGACUAUAAUUUUGGACCUCUUGUGUGUGGAACCACCAAGCGACCAGAGGAGAAGGAGGAGGAGGAGCAUCAUAGCAGUCUGGUUGUGGAGUAGCAAGUGAUCAGGUUCUCUUGGUAUCAGGGAGCAGAUCCAUUGAUUGUCUUGUAGGCCAUAAUCAGAGUCUUGAAGUAGGUUUUUCCUCAACAUCAGUUCUGUUGUGCAUGAUUUGAAACUCCUGAAAUUGACCUCCAGUAACAAAUUCAGUUUAAUGUGGUUUCACUUCAGUGAUUUAUUCAAUCAAAAGACAGAUUCACAACUCCAGUGCAACCAAAUCCAGUAUGAAGAGGAGUCUGCCAGGACCAGAUGGCGAUCUGCUAAUGUGUAUGUUUUAUGUCUCUCUGCUAAUUUAACCUAAACUGUGUGUUUCAGUCUGAAUGUGAAUUGAAAGGUUUUGAAAACAUGAGCUGUGUAUCAGUUUUUAGUUAAUGUCUCGUUUAAAGUCAAAUAAACUUUUGUGUUGUAAAGUUAUGACUUUCA
ensembl:lncRNA